GUUAUUCUGGUGAACAGAAAAUAUCUUGCAUAAAAUGGUGGGCUGUGUCUGUCUAGCAGGGCUAUUUGUUGGAGUGCGAGCAGAAUUGCGAAGUCUGCUUACAUGAGCUGGUUGGGUCGAGAUAAUGCAAUGGGAAAUCACCUCAGUAAAACCUUUAGUGGGAAUCACCUUGUGUAAAACAGUGUUUCAGUGUUGUCUUAGAACGAAGAAGGAUUGCAGUCAUGCUGGGGCACCAACUUGAAGAAUUUUUGGUCAAAUAAACCGUCUCCAGUAUUCAUUGUUCUUUUUAAAAGCCUGGUACUUAUAUCGUUCCAUUUUGCUGAACCGCUAGAUUACGGGGACGUAAACAGACCAACACUGGUUUUUAAGCGGUGAGUGGUGGACAAACACAGACACACAAACUUCUUUCAGUUUUCGUCAGUGCUCAACUGGUACUUAUUUAAUCGACCCCGAAAAGAUGAAAAUCAAAGUCGACCUCAGCAGAAUUUGAACUUAGAACGUAAAGACGAACGAAAUGUCGCUAAGCAUUUUGCCCGGCGCGCUGACGAUUUUGCCAGCUCGCCGCCUUUGGAGUUACAUAUAUUAUUACACAAACCAGUUUGAUUCGACCCCACGUAACUUAAACUUUCGUAGGGUCGUACUUUGGCCUAAGAGUCGUGACCAAAUAUGAUUGCGGCCCCUAACUUAACUAGAUAAGGACUCGGUGGACCA